rnacentral:rRNA from 1 species
UACGGCCAUACCACCCUGAAUGCGCCCAAUCUCGUCUGAUCUCGGAAGCUAAGCAAGGGUCCGGCCUGGUUAGUACUUGGAUGGGAGACAUCACUAGCCAUCUGUGAAAUGCAAAUUAAAGCAACAC